rnacentral:rRNA from 1 species
UACGGGGGGGGCAAGCGUUGUUCGGAAUUACUGGGCGUAAAGGGCUCGUAGGUGGCCAACUAAGUCAGACGUGAAAUCCCUCGGCUUAACCGGGGAACUGCGUCUGAUACUGGAUGGCUAGAGUUUGGGAGAGGGAUGCGGAAUUCCAGGUGUAGCGGUGAAAUUCGUAGAUAUUCGGCGGAACACCAGUGGCGAAGGCGACUCACUGGCCCGAUACUGACGCUGAGGCGCGAAAGCGUGGGGAGCAAACAGG